UCCCUACGGACAGCAUGAAAAAGAAGAUUUUCAAUGGGAAGAUGGCCGGUGCCUCUUUCCUUGCCUGGAAAAAAGUGGAUAAAAAGGAGCUGCGCCAGGUUGGCCCGCGAAAUGUCGGGGCACGUAGGCAUAGACACAUUUUUCAAUUCCGAGUCAAAACAUCCGAAACUGCUGCCACUCCGAUUCUAGAUUCAGAAGGAACAAAACCGGUCUCCCCACUUUUUUAAAGGCUUAAGUCAGGCUGGCUUAAACAUGUUUAAAACCCAGGAACACUUCUAGGAAUAAACCCCGCUGAACACAGUGGGGUUUAAUUCUAAGACAAUCGUGCUGUUCGCUGACUGAUAGCCCUUAAUUUCCUCUCCCACGAAUCCCACCGGGGAGGAGUUCGAGACCGAGGGACGUGGAUGCCUCUUACCAGCCGCCCUGCUUGAGUUACAGAACCGCACGGCUGGUGCAAAUGACUCUGAAUUAAUGAAGGCAACAAAGUUGUGCCGUCGUGGACGUCGUCGUGACGGCACGCAGUGAACGAGAUAAUGGAAAGACCUAGGUGCCGAGUGCAGUGGGCUAGUUCAACCGGGCCACAGACACAUUUCUGCGGGAUUGAGCAGCAUCCCACCAGAUAUGAGGGGCUGGGUGCAAAUGUAGGAUCUCCGAACACAGGUCUACUCAGAGAGUACCUCCUGUACACAUGGCCACAGAUGAAACCAAAAACCAUCAACAUGGUAUGGAGAAGAUGCUCUUCAGCUAUAUUGAGGGUGUCCCACAAUGCUGGCCAGCCCAUGUCUGCUUUCAUCUGGUCCUCAAGUCAAGGCCAUCUUCUGAAUUCUGUUCAAAUGCUAGGAUAGCCUGACAUUACCAGACAUUGUGGAAGAUUGUUGAGUGUCUCUGGCAUACAACUUGAUAAUCUCUGUGUUGAAGAAAAUAGUUCUGGAACAAUGGAUAAUAAUAGUAAAGGAUCUUACUGCACCUAAAGGAACCAACAUUCAGAGAGCUGUUGCCUUUUCUCCUUAAAAAGAGACACGACCAUCAUUUUUAGUAGCUGUUGGUUGACUUAUUGGAGAUGGCAUAGAAAGACAAUUAAGAGAUUACUGGACUUCAAAACAUUUGAACGGUCAAAGUUUCUCCAUUGCUGCCUUUUGGCAAGAAUGGGCAGAAGGUGGCUACAAACAUAACUGACUGGCCAUGUAUGGAAUAAUAUUCUGAGGCAACAGUCCUACAACAAUAUAACUUGGAAUAAACUCAGCUGAACUCAAUGGGAAAUACUUCUAAAGAAAUGGGUAUAGCUGCGAAACAAAGAUAGGCUGGGCAGGCAAAGGGGCCAAUGAUGUGUGUAUUAAAAGACUGUGAGUGCAGUGCUGGAAAAGAAAAGAAGACAGCAUCAAACUGAAGAGGAAAAAAAGCCAGCCACAAAUAACGUAUUUC